rnacentral:rRNA from 1 species
GGGGGCUAUCUGCAAGUCGAGCGGACCGACGGGAGCUUGCUCCCUUAGGUCAGCGGCGGACGGGUGAGUAACACGUGGGUAACCUGCCUGUAAGACUGGGAUAACUCCGGGAAACCGGGGCUAAUACCGGAUGCUUGAUUGAACCGCAUGGUUCAAUCAUAAAAGGUGGCUUUUAGCUACCACUUACAGAUGGACCCGCGGCGCAUUAGCUAGUUGGUGAGGUAACGGCUCACCAAGGCGACGAUGCGUAGCCGACCUGAGAGGGUGAUCGGCCACACUGGGACUGAGACACGGCCCAGACUCCUACGGGAGGCAGCAGUAGGGAAUCUUCCGCAAUGGACGAAAGUCUGACGGAGCAACGCCGCGUGAGUGAUGAAGGUUUUCGGAUCGUAAAACUCUGUUGUUAGGGAAGAACAAGUACCGUUCGAAUAGGGCGGCACCUUGACGGUACCUAACCAGAAAGCCACGGCUAACUACGUGCCAGCAGCCGCGGUAAUACGUAGGUGGCAAGCGUUGUCCGGAAUUAUUGGGCGUAAAGCGCGCGCAGGCGGUUUCUUAAGUCUGAUGUGAAAGCCCCCGGCUCAACCGGGGAGGGUCAUUGGAAACUGGGGAACUUGAGUGCAGAAGAGGAGAGUGGAAUUCCACGUGUAGCGGUGAAAUGCGUAGAGAUGUGGAGGAACACCAGUGGCGAAGGCGACUCUCUGGUCUGUAACUGACGCUGAGGCGCGAAAGCGUGGGGAGCGAACAGGAUUAGAUACCCUGGUAGUCCACGCCGUAAACGAUGAGUGCUAAGUGUUAGAGGGUUUCCGCCCUUUAGUGCUGCAGCAAACGCAUUAAGCACUCCGCCUGGGGAGUACGGUCGCAAGACUGAAACUCAAAGGAAUUGACGGGGGCCCGCACAAGCGGUGGAGCAUG